rnacentral:rRNA from 1 species
GACGGGGUUGCAGGGCCGCGCAUCCGGGGGCUGCCGCCCCCGGGCGCAGGUCCGGCUGGGGAGCGGAACGGCAUGGGAGGGCCGGCCGCAGCGGGUGACAGCCCCGUACGCGAACCCAGACCGGACGGCGCGACGCGGUCCCUGAGUAGGGCCGGGCACGUGAAACCCGGUCCGAACCUGGGUGGACCACCAUCCAAGCCUGAGUACUACCCUGUGACCGAUAGCGCACCAGUACCGUGAGGGAAAGGUGAAAAGCACCCCGGGAGGGGAGUGAAACAGUACCUGAAACCGUGCGCCCACGAGCAGUCGGAGCACCUUUAUGGUGUGACGGCGUGCCUUUUGUAGAAUGAGCCAGCGAGUCGCUGGCGCGGGGCGAGGUUAACCGAAAGGGAGCCGAAGCGAAAGCGAGCCUUAACAGGGCGACUUGAGUCCCGCGCCGCGGACGCGAAGCCGGGUGAGCUAUCCGUGGGCAGGCUGAAGCGGGGGUAAGACCCCGUGGAGGGCCGAACGCACGUCGGUUGAAAACGGCGGCGAUGACCUGCGGAUAGGGGUGAAAGGCCAAUCAAACCCGGAGAUAUCUCGUUCUCCCCGAAAUAGCUUUAGGGCUAGCGUCGCGCGUUCACCGCCGGAGGUAGAGCACCGGAUGGACGAGGGGGCUUCGCCGCCUACCGAAUCCAACCGAACUCCGAAUGCCGGCGGCCCAGAGCGCGGCAGUCAGAGCAUGUGGGCUAAGCUGUGUGCUCGAGAGGGAAACAGCCCGGACCGCCCGCUAAGGUCCCCAAGUUCCAGCCGAGUGGCAAAGGAUGUGCGUCCGCCCAGACAACCAGGAUGUUGGCUUAGAAGCAGCCAUCCAUUCAAAGAGUGCGUAACAGCUCACUGGUCGAGUGGACAUGCGCCGACAAUACACGGGGCUAAGCUGGACACCGAAGCGGCGGGAUUUUGAUUUUCAGAAUCGGUAGGGGAGCUUCCCAUGGGCGGAGAAGCCGGAGGGCGACCGACGGUGGAGCGCAUGGGAGUGAGAAUGCUGGCAUGAGUAGCGAGAGACGAGAGAGUAACUCGUCCGCCGUGAACCCGAGGUUUCCUGGGCAAGGCUAAUCCUCCCAGGGUCAGUCGGGGGCUAAGGCGAGGCCGGGAGGCGUAGCCGACGCGCAGCAGGCAGACAUUCCUGCACCGCGCACGCGGCGCUACGACCGACGGGGCGACGGAUGGGGGUGGCUCGGCGGGGUUCUGGACGUCCCCGUGAUGGAGCGCGGCCCGCGGACCAGGGAAAUCCGGUCCGCAUCAAGGGCGAGGCUCCGGACGAAGCGACUGAGCGAAGCGAGUGAGCCCGAGGUCCCUAGAAAAACCCCUAGGCAGGCGCGUGCGCGCCCGUACCGCAAACCGACACAGGUGGGUGGGUAGAACAUACCGAGGCGAUCGGGUCAACCAUGGUCAAGGAACUCGGCACAAUGGCCCCGUAACUUCGGGAGAAGGGGUGCCCGCGCGUACGUGAACCGGCUUGCCCGGGGAGCGGAGGCGGGCCGCAGUGGAGAGGCCCAAGCGACUGUUUACCAAAAACACAGGACUCUGCAGAAGCCGCAAGGCGACGUAUAGGGUCUGACGCCUGCCCGGUGCCGGAAGGUCACGCGGAGGAGUUAGCCGCAAGGCGAAGCCCCGAAGCCAAGCCCCGGUAAACGGCGGCCGUAACUAUAACGGUCCUAAGGUAGCGAAAUUCCUUGUCGGGUAAGUUCCGACCUGCACGAAAGGCGCAACGACUUGGGCGCUGUCUCGACCAUGGACCCGGUGAAAUUGCACUGGUCGUGAAGAUGCGACUUACCCGCGGAAGGACGGAAAGACCCCGUGAACCUUCACUGCAGCUUGGCAUUGGCCGCUGGUCCCGCGUGUAGAGGAUAGGCAGGAGGCAUCGAUCCGGAGGCGCCAGCCCCCGGGGAGCCGCCCUUGGAAUACUGCCCUCGCGCGACCGGCGUCCUAACCCGAGGCCGUCAACCGGCUCGGGGACCGUGCCAGGCGGGCAGUUUGACUGGGGCGGUCGCCUCCUAAAGGGUAACGGAGGCGCGCGAAGGUCCGCUCGGGACGGUCGGCAACCGUCCUUUUGAAUGCAAGAGUACAAGCGGGCUUGACUGCGAGGCCCACAAGCCGAGCAGGUGCGAAAGCAGGCUCUAGUGAUCCGGCGGCCCCGAGUGGGUGGGCCGUCGCUCAACGGAUAAAAGGUACUCCGGGGAUAACAGGCUGAUCUUGCCCAAGAGUCCACAUCGACGGCAAGGUUUGGCACCUCGAUGUCGGCUCAUCGCAUCCUGGGGCUGGA